CCACAUCUGCCCACUUGGUGGUCCCACGCACGAAAGAUGGAUGUACGAAUAUCCGUUCACAUUGGUGGAAGUAACGUGAGGCACAGUGAGGAACAAGGCAAUGCAGUGUUUUCAUACAGCUUUCAAAGAACAAACUGCUCACAACAAGAAGAGAGUGCUAACGCAGAAGACAGCAACUGCGAGACUGGAUCCACAAAUUCAUACAACCGAGAGAUGCUGUUAGAACUUGAUCCGUCUCGCC